AUUGAACGCUGGCGGCAUGCUUUACACAUGCAAGUCGAACGGCAGCGGGGAGGAGCUUGCUUCUCUGCCGGCGAGUGGCGAACGGGUGAGUAAUACAUCGGAACGUGUCGAGAAGAGGGGGAUAACCACCCGAAAGGGUGGCUAAUACCGCAUAAAUUCUGAGGAAGAAAGCUGGGGACCUGGGAAUAGGCCUAGCGCUUUUUGAGCGGCCGAUGUCGGAUUAGCUAGUUGGUGAGGUAAAGGCUCACCAAGGCGAGGAUCUGUAGCGGGUCUGAGAGGAUGAUCCGCCACACUGGGACUGAGACACGGCCCAGACUCCUACGGGAGGCAGCAGUGGGGAAUUUUGGACAAUGGGGGCAACCCUGAUCCAGCCAUGCCGCGUGUAUGAAGAAGGCCUUAGGGUUGUAAAGUACUUUUGUUAGGGAAGAAAAGUCAGCUGUGAAUAAUGGCUGAUACUGACGGUACCUAAAGAAUAAGCACCGGCUAACUACGUG
rnacentral:rRNA from 1 species